CCCUCUACCAUAAAUUACGACGUUCACUCUCCCACUCGGGGAGAUGAUAGGCCAACGCGCCCACCAAGUGCAAUGUGGGCCAUUGACCUAGGCCACGGGCCUUCUUGA
rnacentral:rRNA from 1 species